rnacentral:rRNA from 1 species
UACGUAGGUGGCAAGCGUUAUCCGGAUUUACUGGGUGUAAAGGGCGUGUAGGCGGGAGAGCAAGUCAGACGUGAAAUUCCAGGGCUCAACCCUGGAACUGCGUUUGAAACUGUUCUUCUUGAGUGAUGGAGAGGCAAGCGGAAUUCCUAGUGUAGCGGUGAAAUGCGUAGAUAUUAGGAGGAACACCAGUGGCGAAGGCGGCUUACUGGACGGCAACUGACGCUGAGGCUCGAAAGCGUGGGGAGCAAACAGG